rnacentral:rRNA from 1 species
UACAGAGGGUGCGAGCGUUACUCGGAAUUACUGGGCGUAAAGCGUGCGCAGGCGGUUGUGCAAGACCGAUGUGAAAUCCCCGGGCUUAACCUGGGAAUGGCAUUGGUGACUGCACGGCUAGAGUGUGUCAGAGGGGGGUAGAAUUCCACGUGUAGCAGUGAAAUGCGUAGAGAUGUGGAGGAAUACCGAUGGCGAAGGCAGCCCCCUGGGAUAACACUGACGCUCAUGCACGAAAGCGUGGGGAGCAAACAGG